GUGCUCCCUUUGGCAGCACAUAUACUAAAAUUGGAAUGAUACAGAGAAGAUUAGCACAGCCCCUGCACAAGAAUGACAUGCAAGUUUGUGAAGCAUUCUAUAUUUUA
rnacentral:snRNA from 1 species